UCCUGGCUCAGGAUGAACGCUGGCGGCGUGCCUAACACAUGCAAGUCGAGCGGGAUCUUGCUAAAUGACGCUUCGGUUGAUUUAGUAAGUGAGAGCGGCGGACGGGUGAGUAACGCGUAGGCAACCUGCCCUUGCAGGGGGAUAACAGUUAGAAAUGACUGCUAAUACCGCAUAAGCGCACAGUAUCGCAUGAUACCGUGUGAAAAGCCGAGACGGUAUAAGAUGGACCCGCGUCUGAUUAGCUAGUUGGUGGGGGUAAACGGCCCACCAAGGCGACGAUCAGUAGCCGACCUGAGAGGGUGACCGGCCACAUUGGGACUGAGACACGGCCCAGACUCCUACGGGAGGCAGCAGUGGGGGAUAUUGCACAAUGGAGGAAACUCUGAUGCAGCAACGCCGCGUGAGGGAAGAAGGUCUUCGGAUUGUAAACCUUUGUCUUUGGUGACGAACAAAUGACGGUAGCCAAGGAGGAAGCUCCGGCUAACUACGUG
rnacentral:rRNA from 1 species